ACGGACGCUGGCGGCGUGCCUAAUACAUGCAAGUUGAGCGCUGAAGGUUGGUACUUGUACCAACUGGAUGAGCAGCGAACGGGUGAGUAACGCGUGGGGAAUCUGCCUUUGAGCGGGGGACAACAUUUGGAAACGAAUGCUAAUACCGCAUAAAAACUUUAAACACAAGUUUUAAGUUUGAAAUAUGCAAUUGCAUCACUCAAAGAUGAUCCCGCGUUGUAUUAGCUAGUUGGUGAGGUAAAGGAUCACCAAGGCGAUGAUACAUAGCCGACCUGAGAGGGUGAUCGGCCACAUUGGGACUGAGACACGGCCCAAACUCCUACGGGAGGCAGCAGUAGGGAAUCUUCGGCAAUGGACGAAAGUCUGACCGAGCAACGCCGCGUGAGUGAAGAAGGUUUUCGGAUCGUAAAACUCUGUUGGUAGAGAAGAACGUUGGUGAGAGUGGAAAGCUCAUCAAGUGACGGUAACUACCCAGAAAGGGACGGCUAACUACGUG
rnacentral:rRNA from 1 species